rnacentral:sRNA from 1 species
UACUUAAGAUGGCUCUGGCAUACCCCAGUAAUCAGCAAAGACUUGUCUGAUCUAGCUGGCUGGUCACAUGCCCCUUUACUCUCUUUUUGGCCAGUUUAUGUCUCUCCCAAGUUGUGCAUUUGAUCAAGAGGUUGGUAUUCUGAAGUAGAGGAGGACUGUUCAACCCUCAAGGAUAUGUGGGUAGCACUGCAAUCCUCUCCUAAAACUUCCCAAGGAGAUAUCUCAACACGGUAAAAUUUUUAAAUUCCUAGAGAAAUACAAUUCAAUCUCUGUCAUUAAAAGUAGAAUCCUGGGGCUGUCCCAGUGGUGCAGCGGUUA